rnacentral:rRNA from 1 species
UGAUGCAGCAACGCCGCGUGAGGGACGACGGCCUUCGGGUUGUAAACCUCUUUUAGCAAGGAAGAAGCGAAAGUGACGGUACUUGCAGAAAAAGCACCGGCUAACUACGUGCCAGCAGCCGCGGUAAUACGUAGGGUGCAAGCGUUAUCCGGAAUUAUUGGGCGUAAAGAGCUCGUAGGCGGUUUGUCGCGUCUGCUGUGAAAACUGGGGGCUCAACCCCCAGCCUGCAGUGGGUACGGGCAGACUAGAGUGCGGUAGGGGAGAUUGGAAUUCCUGGUGUAGCGGUGGAAUGCGCAGAUAUCAGGAGGAACACCGAUGGCGAAGGCAGAUCUCUGGGCCGUAACUGACACUUAGGAGCGAAAGGGUGGGGAGCAAACAGGCUUACAUACCCUGGUAGUCCACCCCGUAAACGUUGGGAACUAGUUGUGGGGACCAUUCCACGGUCUCCGUGACGCAUCUCACGCAUUAAGUUCCCCGCCUGGGGAGUACGGCCGCAAGGCUAAAACUCAAAGGAAUUGACGGGGACCCGCACAAGCGGCGGAGCAUGCGGAUUAAUUCGAUGCAACGCGAAUAACCUUACCAAGGCUUGACAUAUACUAGAACGCUGCGAAAUGUAUAACUCUUUGGACACUCG